rfam:Triticum aestivum genome assembly, contig: Triticum_aestivum_CS42_TGACv1_scaffold_343680_4DL
CCUACCUAUGAUGAGUUGCAAACUUUAUUGCCUACAUUGUUUGAUCAAUCUUAUGAGAAGCUUCUGCAACGUCUGAGGAUGA